UGGGGAAUAUUGGACAAUGGGCGCAAGCCUGAUCCAGCCAUGCCGCGUGAGUGACGAAGGCCUUAGGGUUGUAAAGCUCUUUUGGCGGGGACGAUAAUGACGGUACCCGCAGAAUAAGCCCCGGCUAACUACGUGCCAGCAGUCCGCGGUAAUACGUAGGGUGCGAGCGUUAAUCGGAAUUACUGGGCGUAAAGCGUGCGUAGGCGGCUUCGCAAGUCAGGUGUGAAAGCCCUGGGCUCAACCUAGGAAUUGCGCUUGAAACUACGGAGCUAGAGUUUGGCAGAGGGGGGUGGAAUUCCACGUGUAGCAGUGAAAUGCGUAGAUAUGUGGAGGAACACCGAUGGCGAAGGCAGCCCCCUGGGCCAAAACUGACGCUCAGGCACGAAAGCGUGGGGAGCAAACAGGAUUAGAUACCCGUGUAGUCCCUGAGCGGGCUGGCAAGGCGCAU
rnacentral:rRNA from 1 species